CUCCACCUCCCAAGUUCAAGGGAUUCUCCUGCCUCAGUCUCCCGAGUAGCUGAGAUUACAGAGCUGUUUCAGGAAACAUUCUCCAGACUGUGCUUCACGUCAAGAAAAAUGCAGGGCGUAUUGACUGACGGCGGUAGGCGGGAAUCCAGCAGCUUGCAUGUCUUUUGAGAAGUGUCUGCUUAUGUCCUCUGCCCAUUUUUUAAUGGAGUAAACCAGGACAUACUCACCUCUCUCUGGGGAACCACUGCUGGGACCACUGCCUUGUGAAUGGGAGGACGGAAGCUCCUGGACCCGGAAAAGACUGGAUGCCAUGGCUAAGGGAACUUUGGUUUUGUGGACAGGGGGU